UCCCUGGUGGCUCAGAUGGUAAAGCGUCUGCCUACAAUGCAGGAGACCCGGGUUCGACCCCUGGGUUGGGAA
rnacentral:tRNA from 1 species